rnacentral:misc_RNA from 1 species
GAUGAAGAACGUAGCGAAAUGCGAUAAGUAGUGUGAAUUGCAGAAUUCAGUGAAUCAUCGAAUCUUUGAACGCACAUUGCGCCCUUUGGUAUUCCUUAGGGCAUGCCUGUUCGAGCGUCAUUUAAACCCUUCAAGCUCAGCUUGGUGUUGGGUGACUGUCCGCCGCCCCCGGGCGCGGACUCGCCCCAAAUUCAUUGGCGGCCGGUACGUAGGCUUCGAGCGCAGCAGAACCGCGAACUCGGGCCCGCGGUGUCGGCUCCCAGAAGCCAUCUCUUUUAUUUUGACCUCGGAUCAGGUAGGGAUACCCGCUGAACUUAAGCAUAUCAAUAAGCGGAGGA